CGUGUAGGUGGUAGAUUAAGUCGAGUGUGAAAUCCCUUGGCUCAACCAAGGAACUGCAUUCGAUACUAAUUUGCUUGAGUGAUAGAGAGGUAAGCGGAAUUCCCGGUGUAACAGUGAAAUGUGUAGAUAUCGGGAGGAACACCAGUGGCGAAGGCGGCUUACUGGCUAUCAACUGACACUGAAACGCGAGAGCUAGGGGAGCGAACAGGAUUAGAUACCCUGGUAGUCC
rnacentral:rRNA from 1 species